UUGGCCCUGAAUCAAGGCUAGCCAUUUGCUGAAGCUGUUGGUUUCAAGCAGGAGCCUAAAAAAAUGUUUUUCUAUCAUCUGUUGGCUAUUUCAGAACUUUGGAAAUGUAAUAGUCAAUUUAUUAGAAAGAAAUAUCU